rnacentral:rRNA from 1 species
AGUGGCGGACGGGUGAGUAACGCGUGAGAAUCUGCCUUGGGGUCGGGGACAACCACUGGAAACGGUGGCUAAUACCGGAUACGCCUUCGGGUAAAAGAUUUAUUGCCCUAAGAGGAGCUCGCGUCUGAUUAGCUAGUUGGUGAGGUAAGAGCUCACCAAGGCAGCGAUCAGUAGCUGGUCUGAGAGGACGAUCAGCCACACUGGGACUGAGACACGGCCCAGACUCCUACGGGAGGCAGCAGUGGGGAAUUUUCCGCAAUGGGCGAAAGCCUGACGGAGCAAGACCGCGUGAGGGAGGAAGGCUCUUGGGUUGUAAACCUCUUUUCUCAGGGAAGAAGCUCUGACGGUACCUGAGGAAUCAGCCUCGGCUAACUCCGUGCCAGCAGCCGCGGUAAUACGGAGGAGGCAAGCGUUAUCCGGAAUUAUUGGGCGUAAAGCGUCCGCAGGUGGCGAUUCAAGCCUGCUGUCAAAGCACGGGGCUUAACUCCGUAAAGGCAGUGGAAACUGAAUAGCUAGAGUGCCGUAGGGGUAGAGGGAAUUCCCGGUGUAGCGGUGAAAUGCGUAGAGAUCGGGAAGAACAUCGGUGGCGAAAGCGCUCUACUGGACGGCAACUGACACUCAGGGACGAAAGCUAGGGGAGCGAAUGGGAUUAGAUACCCC